rnacentral:lncRNA from 1 species
AUCACAAGGACUUUUUCAAGGCUUGUAUUGAGGCUGGGUUAACAAGAAAAAAUUGGUUCUUCUGGAAUGCAAAAUCCUUGAGUUAAGAGAGCAAUCAUAUUGUUCAAACUUUAAGCACAACUCCCUUUCUCACCAAUCUCACUUAUUCCCAACUUCUUUCGUUUUCUUUUACAUUGAGCUCAUUUUCAUGCUUUUCUUCUUUUCUUUUCUUUUACUCAUGUAUUUUUCUUUCUCAACAUUUGAACUCAAUGUUUUACAAUUG